rnacentral:rRNA from 1 species
AGGCCUAACACAUGCNAGUCGAGCGGUAGNNAGAAGCUUGCUUCUCUUGAGAGCGGCGGNNGGGUGAGUAAUGCCUAGGAAUCUGCCUGGUAGUGGGGGAUAACGUUCGGAAACGGACGCUAAUACCGCAUACGUCCUACGGGAGAAAGCAGGGGACCUUCGGGCCUUGCGCUAUCAGAUGAGCCUAGGUCGGAUUAGCUAGUUGGUGGGGUAAUGGCUCACCAAGGCGACGAUCCGUAACUGGUCUGAGAGGAUGAUCAGUCACACUGGAACUGAGACACGGUCCAGACUCCUACGGGAGGCAGCAGUGGGGAAUAUUGGACAAUGGGCGAAAGCCUGAUCCAGCCAUGCCGCGUGUGUGAAGAAGGUCUUCGGAUUGUAAAGCACUUUAAGUUGGGAGGAAGGGUUGUAGAUUAAUACUCUGCAAUUUUGACGUUACCGACAGAAUAAGCACCGGCUAACUCUGUGCCAGCAGCCGCGGUAAUACAGAGGGUGCAAGCGUUAAUCGGAAUUACUGGGCGUAAAGCGCGCGUAGGUGGUUUGUUAAGUUGGAUGUGAAAUCCCCGGGCUCAACCUGGGAACUGCAUUCAAAACUGACUGACUAGAGUAUGGUAGAGGGUGGUGGAAUUUCCUGUGUAGCGGUGAAAUGCGUAGAUAUAGGAAGGAACACCAGUGGCGAAGGCGACCACCUGGACUAAUACUGACACUGAGGUGCGAAAGCGUGGGGAGCAAACAGGAUUAGAUACCCUGGUAGUCCACGCCGUAAACGAUGUCAACUAGCCGUUGGAAGCCUUGAGCUUUUAGUGGCGCAGCUAACGCAUUAAGUUGACCGCCUGGGGAGUACGGCCGCAAGGUUAAAACUCAAAGGAUUNNNCGGG